UUGAUUGAUGGUGCUUGCACCUGAUUGAUUUUGGUCGCCAACGAGUGGCGGACGGGUGAGUAACACGUAGGUAACCUGCCCAGAAGCGGGGGACAACAUUUGGAAACAGAUGCUAAUACCGCAUAACAGCGUUGUUCGCAUGAACAACGCUUAAAAGAUGGCUUCUCGCUAUCACUUCUGGAUGGACCUGCGGUGCAUUAGCUUGUUGGUGGGGUAACGGCCUACCAAGGCGAUGAUGCAUAGCCGAGUUGAGAGACUGAUCGGCCACAAUGGGACUGAGACACGGCCCAUACUCCUACGGGAGGCAGCAGUAGGGAAUCUUCCACAAUGGGCGCAAGCCUGAUGGAGCAACACCGCGUGAGUGAAGAAGGGUUUCGGCUCGUAAAGCUCUGUUGUUAAAGAAGAACACGUAUGAGAGUAACUGUUCAUACGUUGACGGUAUUUAACCAGAAAGUCACGGCUAACUACGUGCCAGCAGCCGCGGUAAUACGUAGGUGGCAAGCGUUAUCCGGAUUUAUUGGGCGUAAAGAGAGUGCAGGCGGUUUUCUAAGUCUGAUGUGAAAGCCUUCGGCUUAACCGGAGAAGUGCAUCGGAAACUGGAUAACUUGAGUGCAGAAGAGGGUAGUGGAACUCCAUGUGUAGCGGUGGAAUGCGUAGAUAUAUGGAAGAACACCAGUGGCGAAGGCGGCUACCUGGUCUGCAACUGACGCUGAGACUCGAAAGCAUGGGUAGCGAACAGGAUUAGAUACCCUGGUAGUCCAUGCCGUAAACGAUGAGUGCUAGGUGUUGGAGGGUUUCCGCCCUUCAGUGCCGGAGCUAACGCAUUAAGCACUCCGCCUGGGGAGUACGACCGCAAGGUUGAAACUCAAAGGAAUUGACGGGGGCCCGCACAAGCGGUGGAGCAUGUGGUUUAAUUCGAAGCUACGCGAAGAACCUUACCAGGUCUUGACAUCUUGCGCCAACCCUAGAGAUAGGGCGUUUCCUUCGGGAACGCAAUGACAGGUGGUGCAUGGUCGUCGUCAGCUCGUGUCGUGAGAUGUUGGGUUAAGUCCCGCAACGAGCGCAACCCUUGUUACUAGUUGCCAGCAUUAAGUUGGGCACUCUAGUGAGACUGCCGGUGACAAACCGGAGGAAGGUGGGGACGACGUCAGAUCAUCAUGCCCCUUAUGACCUGGGCUACACACGUGCUACAAUGGACGGUACAACGAGUCGCGAACUCGCGAGGGCAAGCAAAUCUCUUAAAACCGUUCUCAGUUCGGACUGCAGGCUGCAACUCGCCUGCACGAAGUCGGAAUCGCUAGUAAUCGCGGAUCAGCAUGCCGCGGUGAAUACGUUCCCGGGCCUUGUACACACCGCCCGUCACACCAUGAGAGUUUGUAACACCCAAAGUCGGUGG
rnacentral:rRNA from 3 species